CUCCAGCGCCGCCCCCAUCAUAUUUCCUUUCUUUUCUUCCAAAUUCUUCUUCUUCCUAGCGCCAUAACCCUUCUUCUUAUCUUCUUCUUCACUGAAUCACGAAGAGCUUGCCUUUUAAUUCCGUGAACUGGGUGUAGGGUCUGGUUCAAGAAAUGGGAUAGCUUGGAUUUGAAUCUGCUUGGCUUGGACCAGUCAUGGUCACCUCCUGACUGAGGGUUCAGGGUCAAAAGGUAAGCUUGGACUCAAAAAGGUGAAAUGCAGUUCUGGUGAAGAACCUUUACUUGUCCUGCGAUCCCUACACGUGGCAUCAAGGCAAAAGUCCAAGAUCGCCUUUUUUAUUCCUUUGCCCCUGAUUCAAUUUUUUCUGGAACAUUGUCAUACAACUUUGAAGAACUGCAAGGACAUCAAAUUUGUAUAAUCUGCAAAGAAACCUGGAACUGAUUGAAGUAUUCAGAUUAUUACUAUCUAGACGAAUAAUGGAGAGGGACUUAAGCUUCAACAAGGAGGAAUCAAUAUAUAGGGCCUGAAAGAUGGCAAUUUGAAGAGCUUAGCACUUGCAGAUUUGGCAAUGAAGAUGAUAAUUAAGACCUGGCACCACUCAUUCGCCUGUACUGAUAUGCUUACACCAUCAAGAUGAAGCUCUAUAAGCUCUGAAAGGUUCUGAACGAGCAUAUUUAAAUUUGGAUUCUCAAGUUUCAGUAAAGGAGUUUUGAGAAAGUAGUUGUUAGAUAAAUCAAGAGUAACCAACCUCCUCAAGCGUGAAAUCGCAAUUGGAAUUUGCAUGUCCUACAAAGCCAGCAUUUGAUAGGUUCAAAAUACUCAAAUUCAUUAUGAAGCUUGUCCAAUUCUGAUAGAAUCUGAGACUUGUUGAAGUUGUUGUAACUCAGACUCAAGUUUUGGAGAUGCUGUAGACUGAAGAAACUGCUUGAAUUGUCAAGUCCACCCGAGAUGAAUUCGUUGAUCAGGUCGAAACCAAUAAUGCGUCCCUCCUUGCAGAUCACGCCUAAUUCCCAAUAACAACAAUCGGCACUUUGAUUCCAAUAUAUACACUAGCUAGUUUUGCAGACUAAUCACUGUUGAAUAUGAGGUUUUUCUUCAGCUGGUGCAACAAAGACUGCUGAUCGCCAAAACAUUGGCCACACGCUACAAAGGUAUAUAUAUAUAGAAGCUGAGGAAAAGGAGGAUAUUGGCAUCAAGAAAAGCCAUAAAAAGGAGGACAUUUUCACUGCAAGCUGUAGAAAUCUGAAGAGGUGAUGAAAUUUUGAGUGUGGAAUGGGAGUUGGGUAGAGAAAGAAGAGAAGAAGAAGGAGCAGCAGCAAGGGCGGGAGAAGAUCAGAGAGGGAUGGGUAGCAUUGUUAUACCAUCGGCAUCUUGAAAUGGCCGGACGCUCGAAGCUUCAGAUUGAAAAUCAAACCAAUGCCAUGACUUGGCCAGUUUUGAAUGUUGAUUCCAUGGAUUGAGAUUCACGGUGAGAAAUAUUUGUAUGCAUGGAGUUGUUUUAUUUUAUAUAUCUUACAAUUUUUGAUUUCUUUUCUUUUUCGAGUUGUUGGUGAGGAUUACUUAUAACACUUCUGGUCUUCUUUU